rnacentral:misc_RNA from 1 species
GUUCCGUAGGUGAACCUGCGGAAGGAUCAUUAUUGAAUGAACUUGGUAGUGGUUGUAGCUGGCUCUCUCGAGAGCAUGUGCACACCCGCCAUCUUUAUCUUUCCACCUGUGCACUUCUUGUAGACUUUGGGAUUUGAAAACUUAUCCGGGGCAACUCGGUCGGGAGGAGCUGCUGUAGCAAUACGGCUCUCCUUGACAAGUCUUCAAAGUCUAUGUUUUUCAUAUACCCCAUAGUAUGUAACAGAAUGUAUACAAAUGAGCCUUAGUGCUUAUAAAACUUAUACAACUUUCAACAACGGAUCUCUUGGCUCUC